rnacentral:rRNA from 1 species
GAGUUAAAUGUUCAAGGUAUCGGAUGGGCAUGCGUCCUAUUAGUUAGUUGGCGGGGUAACAGCCCACCAAGACGAUGAUAGGUAGGGGUUCUGAGAGGAAGGUCCCCCACAUUGGAACUGAGACACGGUCCAAACUCCUACGGGAGGCAGCAGUGAGGAAUAUUGGUCAAUGGACGUAAGUCUGAACCAGCCAAGUCGCGUGAGGGAAGACUGCCCUAUGGGUUGUAAACCUCUUUUAUAAGGGAAGAAUAAGUUCUACGUGUAGAAUGAUGCCUGUACCUUAUGAAUAAGCAUCGGCUAACUCCGUGCCAGCAGCCGCGGUAAUACGGAGGAUGCGAGCGUUAUCCGGAUUUAUUGGGUUUAAAGGGUGCGUAGGCGGUUUAUUAAGUUAGUGGUUAAAUAUUUGAGCUAAACUCAAUUGUGCCAUUAAUACUGGUAAACUGGAGUACAGACGAGGUAGGCGGAAUAAGUUAAGUAGCGGUGAAAUGCAUAGAUAUAACUUAGAACUCCGAUAGCGAAGGCAGCUUACCAGACUGUAACUGACGCUGAUGCACGAGAGCGUGGGUAGCGAACAGGAUUAGAUACCCUGGUAGUCCACGCCGUAAACGAUGCUCACUGGUUCUGUGCGAUAUAUUGUACGGGAUUAAGCGAAAGUAUUAAGUGAGCCACCUGGGGAGUACGUCGGCAACGAUGAAACUCAAAGGAAUUGACGGGGGCCCGCACAAGCGGAGGAACAUGUGGUUUAAUUCGAUGAUACGCGAGGAACCUUACCUGGGUUUAAAUGGGAAAUGUCGUAUUUGGAAACAGAUAUUCUCUUCGGAGCGUUUUUCAAGGUGCUGCAUGGUUGUCGUCAGCUCGUGCCGUGAGGUGUCGGGUUAAGUCCCAUAACGAGCGCAACCCUUACCGUUAGUUGCUAGCAUGUAAUGAUGAGCACUCUAACGGGACUGCCACCGUAAGGUGAGAGGAAGGCGGGGAUGACGUCAAAUCAGCACGGCCCUUACACCCAGGGCUACACACGUGUUACAAUGGCCGGUACAGAGGGCCGCUACCAGGUGACUGGAUGCCAAUCUCAAAAGCCGGUCGUAGUUCGGAUUGGAGUCUGUAACCCGACUCCAUGAAGUUGGAUUCGCUAGUAAUCGCGCAUCAGCCAUGGCGCGGUGAAUACGUUCCCGGGCCUUGUACACACCGCCCGUCAAGCCAUGGAA